AUCUUCUCCUUCGUGGGAGAUGAUUGAAAGAUGGUUUCGGCUAUCACUUACAGAUGGGCCCGCGGUGCUUUAUCUAGUUGGUGAGGUAACGGCUCACCAGGGCAACGAUGCAUACCCGACCUGAGAGGGUGAUCGGCCACUCUGGGACUGAGACACGGCCCACACUCCUACGGGAGGCAGCAGGGGUCAUAG
rnacentral:rRNA from 1 species